rnacentral:rRNA from 1 species
AGCCAGACUCCUACGGGAGGCAGCUGUGAGGAAUAUUGGUCAAUGGCCGAGAGGCUGAACCAGCCAAGUCGCGUGAGGGAAGACGGCCCUACGGGUUGUAAACCUCUUUUGUCAGGGAGCAAAGGGCGCCACGUGUGGCGUUUUGCGAGUACCUGAAGAAAAAGCAUCGGCUAACUCCGUGCCAGCAGCCGCGGUAAUACGGAGGAUGCGAGCGUUAUCCGGAUUUAUUGGGUUUAAAGGGUGCGCAGGCGGGAGAUCAAGUCAGCGGUAAAAUGUCGGGGCUCAACCCCGGCCGGCCGUUGAAACUGGUUUUCUAGAGUUGGAGAGAAGUAUGCGGAAUUCGUGGUGUAGCGGUGAAAUGCAUAGAUAUCACGAAGAACUCCGAUUGCGAAGGCAGCAUACCGGCUCCAUACUGACGCUGAGGCACGAAAGCGUGGGGAUCGACCAGGAUUAGAUACCCUCGUAAA